AAUAUUAAUUCAGAAUUUGACAUGUUUUCUUUAUUAGUAUUUCCUAUAUUUCAGGUUUGUUUGAGUCAAUUGAGCAGUUGUUAGUGUGCCUAAAAAUAAGCUAGUGGGUGUUGUGGGUUUAUCCAGUAGUGUGUUAGUUGCUAGUUUUUCUCUAUUCCUGUUAUGAUGUAGCCUAUAUAUAUGGGCACGUAUUGUUUGUUUAAGGUGUAUUGCAGUCCAUGAAUAAUAGACUUCUGUUCAAGUCUUUAGUCUAUCACAUAUAUUGUUUAUCUGUUAAGUUUCUCCAACAAAUUUGGCAUCAGAGCGUAGGUUUGUAGAUCCUCCAAUUCGUUCCAAUGGCAGGUAACGGAAGCAGCUUGAGUGCAGCACAACCACUCAUACCAGUUUUCAAAGGAGAGGGCUAUGAGUUCUGGAGCAUACGAAUGAAGACUCUGCUUAAAUCUCAGGAACUCUGGGAUAUAGUAGAAGGUGGG
rnacentral:lncRNA from 1 species